rnacentral:rRNA from 1 species
GGUAGCUUAACCUUCGGGAGAGCGCUUACCACUUUGUGAUUCAUGACUGGGGUGAAGUCGUAACAAGGUAACCGUAGGGGAACCUGCGGUUGGAUCACCUCCUUACCUUAAAGAAGCGUUCUUUGCAGUGCUCACACAGAUUGUCUGAU